GACGAACGCUGGCGGCGUGCUUAACACAUGCAAGUCGUGCGGUAAGGCCCUUUCGGGGGUCCACGAGCGGCGAACGGGUGAGUAACACGUGAGCAACCUGCCCUUCACUUUGGGAUAACUGCCGGAAACGGUGGCUAAUACCGGAUAUGACUUCCUCACGCAUGUGGGGUGGUGGAAAGCCUUCGGGUGGUGGGGGAUGGGCUCGCGGUCUAUCAGCUUGUUGGUGGGGUGAUGGCCUACCAAGGCUUCGACGGGUAGCCGGCCUGAGAGGGUGACCGGCCACACUGGGACUGAGACACGGCCCAGACGCCUACGGGAGGCAGCAGUGGGGAAUAUUGGACAAUGUGCGAAAGCCUGAUCCAGCAACGCCGCGUGAGGGAUGACGGCCUUCGGGUUGUAAACCUCUUUCGCCUGCGACGAAGCGAGAGUGACGGUAGCAGGUAAAGAAGCACCGGCCAACUACGUG
rnacentral:rRNA from 1 species